rnacentral:lncRNA from 1 species
AAAUGUAGUACUUUGGUAGGCCCCCUCACAGGCUAGAAAUGUGGAACUAUAAUGUGCAGGCCCCGCCACAGGCUGAAAAUGUGAUACUUUGGCAGGUCCCCUCACAUGCUAGAAAUGUGGAACUAUAAUGUGCAGGCCCCGCCACAGGCUCAAAAUGUGAUACUUUGGCAGGCCCCAUCACAGGCUAGAAAUGUGGAACUAUAAUGUGCAGGCCCUGCCACAGGCUGAAAAUGUGAUAAUUUGGUUGCCCCACCACAGGUUGAGAAAUAUGACCGAGAUUUGACCCAAAGUCGGAAAGAUAAU